rnacentral:rRNA from 1 species
GUGGGGAAUUUUGGACAAUGGGCGCAAGCCUGAUCCAGCAAUGCCGCGUGCAGGAAGAAGGCCUUCGGGUUGUAAACUGCUUUUGUACGGAACGAAACGGUCCUGGUUAAUACCUGGGGCUAAUGACGGUACCGUAAGAAUAAGCACCGGCUAACUACGUGCCAGCAGCCGCGGUAAUACGUAGGGUGCGAGCGUUAAUCGGAAUUACUGGGCGUAAAGCGUGCGCAGGCGGUGCUGUAAGACAGGCGUGAAAUCCCCGGGCUCAACCUGGGAAUUGCGCUUGUGACUGUAGUGCUGGAGUACGGCAGAGGGGGAUGGAAUUCCGCGUGUAGCAGUGAAAUGCGUAGAUAUGCGGAGGAACACCGAUGGCGAAGGCAGUCCCCUGGGCCUGUACUGACGCUCAUGCACGAAAGCGUGGGGAGCAAACAGGAUUAGAAACCCUGGUAGUCC